rnacentral:misc_RNA from 1 species
AGUUCGAUCAUGGCUCAGAUUGAACGCUGGCGGGAUGCUUUACAUGCAAGUAGAACGGCAGCACGGACUUCGGUCUGGUGGCGAGUGGCGAACGGGUGAGUAAUGUAUCGGAACGUGCCUAAUGGCAGGGGAUAACUACGCGAAAGCGUAGCUAAUACCGCAUACGCCCUUCGGGGAAAGCGGGGACCUUCGGGCCUCACUAUUAGAGCAGCCGGAUUAGCUAGUUGGUGGGGUAACGGCUCACCAAGGCGACGAUCCGUAGCUGGUUUGACGACCAGCCACACUGGGACUGGAGACACGGCCCAGACUCCUACGGGAGGCAGCAGUGGGGAAUUUUGGACAAUGGGGAAACCUGAUCCAGCCAUCCCGCGUGUGCGAUGAAGGCCUUCGGGUUGUAAAGCACUUUUGGCAGGAAAAGAAACGGCACGGGAUAAUACCCGUGCAACUGACGGUACCUGCAGAAUAAGCACCGGCUAACUACGUGCCAGCAGCCGCGGUAAUACGUAGGGUGCAAGCGUUAAUCCAGAUUACUGGGCGUAAAGCGUGCGCAGGCCAGAAGGUCACUUCCCCGAAGGGCGUAUUGCGGUAUUAGCUACGCUUUCGCGUAGUUAUCCCCCGCUACGGGCACGUUCAUUUGUGCGCCCUCGCCACCAGACCGAAGUCCGUGCUGCCGUUCGACUUGCAUGUGCAAGCGCCGCAGCGUUCAAUCUGAGCCAUG